GCUCCUCACACCUCCGUGGACUUUGAUUUCUCUCAUGAACAUUUUUAAAGACGUGCCUUUGCAUCUGUGUUUGUUUAUAAUGAGAGUAAAUGUAAACGUGAUGUGUUGUUUGUGGGUCUUUGAUCGUGUGGAAUAUUUCUGCUGCUGCAGCUGAAAUCCAACACUUUAGUUUUUUCUUUCUAUUUGUUUAACGUGGAAACUUUAAACGUGGUCACAGGACGUCUCCGGUCCAAUAACAGUGCAGGUGUUUGGCAGCAGUGAUGAGUCUGACCUUCACCAGCAGAGGGAUCUAAUAAAUAAGAGUGACGGCGGUUUCUUCAUCUAUAAAAGCUGAGCGGUUUCCUCUGUUACUGCCUGCAGAAGGUAAAUGAAUGUAAGAGCUGGUUUUGUUUAGUUUUUGUUACUUUUAAAUCAUGAGGAGGAGAAGGAGGAGGAGGGGGGUUGUUGGGAUAAGUUCUCAUGAUAAGAACAGGCUGUGAGAGCAGCUGACUCACAGUGAUGGAGACACCCAGAGUCUGAGCAAACGGAUGAUCCAGCUAAGAAAAGACGUUCAUCUGUUUGUAUUUUUGCUUUGUAAGGUCAGAAUCUUCUAGUAUUUUUAGAUAUUUCAGGUGCUUUCAACCAUUUCAGGUUAAAGUUUAGCCUGGUUAUAACAGACAGCAGAUUUCAGGUCCAUCUGCAGGAUCCUCCUCCUCUCCAGACGAAGAUCCAAUCACACCUGAGGAACAAACUGCUGCUCAGGGAAAGGUUUCGAGCUCUUUGAUGAUAUUUUUAGGUGAACUGGGAGAAUCGUUCUGAAUAUGGACGCAGACUCCCUGUGACUGUCGUAUCUGACCAAUAGGAGGUGCUGCAACACAACAUCUGUAUCUCCAGUAAUCAGCAGGCGACCUGUCCAAGGUGUAGACGGAGAUGAUCUCAGUGAUGCAUUCAGGGAGCGUUUGAAGGGCGGCUGCAGGAGGUGAAGCCGAUUAUUCCACGUCCCUCCUGGUUUAAACAGCCCUGUAUACAGGUGCUGCUGCUCUGCAACCACGUCCACCUCCACCCACCUCCCCUUUAAUGCUUUCUGAUCUCCUGCUGUUAGUGACGCUCGCUUUGCUCUGAGCGGGGCAGGAAGUGAACCUGGAAAAUAUGAAUAAGUGUAAAUGGAAUAAAAAGACUAUUUAACUUCUACGUCAGCUCUGUCACCAGCUCCUUAUGGUGCAGGUGAGAGUUUGAUGACCAGUCACAGGGAUGAUGCUGAGUCUGCUGCAGCUCUGUUAAGUUUAUAACAGAUAGUUCUGGCCUCUGAACACCAGCAGCGCUCCAGCAGCCUCCCACGGUCGUGGCCACACAUCUUUUGGUUUGCUGGAUCCACUCCUGCUUCAUCAGAAAACCCAGAUGAUCAGUUUGCAGACUUUUCUAGUCACCUUUUAAGGACUGAGCACAGAUUCUCAAUGGGAUUAAAGACCGGGGAGUUUCCUGGCCUCGGAUGCAAAUUGUUAAUUUUCUGAUCUCAGAGCCGCUUAGUGUUGAGUUUAGCCUCGAGACGCGGCGCUCCAUCAGGCUGGAAAAUGCACAGACUCCAGAACGCUCCUGGAUCUGUGGGAGAGGCUGGUCAUCGAGGAUGUUUGUGGUGUGGUCAGUGCUUAAAAAGCUGAAACCUGUGAUCAGCGUGGAGCUGUGGCAUCCCCAUCAGUCAGCGGUUGGCUCAGAGGCUGAUGUUCAGCAUGCACAGACCUGCAGACGUUCUAAAGAAGAAAGGUCACCACGUCUCAGCUGAAUUUUGAACGUUUUUUCUGAGCUGUCUUUAAACAUCGAUUAUCCUUCAAUAAAUCACAGAAACAUGCAAAGAACUCAAACUAAGUUCUGUGAGGAGCAAACGCUGGGCGUGAGGAGUGAAUGCAGCUCAAAGCUGUGUGAAGUCUCUCUUCUGUUUCACGUUGUAUUUUGACAUAUCUGCAUUUUCACACAUGUCAGAGGGAAUUUGAAUAAAGACAAUAAAAACCAACACCUGU
ensembl:lncRNA